UGGUUCCCUGAUGGUUAGUGUUCACUCCUUU
rnacentral:piRNA from 1 species